UGGCUCAGUUGGUAGAGCAUGGUGUUUGCAACGCCAGGGAUGUGGGUUCGAUUCCUAC
rnacentral:tRNA from 1 species